UACACAGAUCAGUAUUUUGAUAUGUUGUUUGUUGUAGCUGGGGCUAGGAGGCAGGAAGUCAGCUCAAAAACAAGCGAGCUCAUGACGCAAGGCAACAUUAUCAUUUAAUUUCUCUGUGUCCUGUUUACCCACUCUUAAAGAUGAAAGCGCUGACCUGCUUCACACAGAUGCCAUCCAAGGGAUACUUAGAGUGCUCUGGAGACACCACGCCCUUAGCAGCAGCCCAACUUUCUCGUGAACCAGGCUGAUGAAAGACAAGAUUUAUGGCUGAAAAGAAAAGUCGGCUGACUGCAGAGGCCUGGUAGCAGCAUUGCCUGUACCCAGGUGGCCAUGUUGUUUUGGGAAGCUGUGAAACCUUCAGGAGGAGGAGCUCUUGCUGGAGGAACUACGUCUCUGGAGGAGACUGGCAACCAAGGUUUGGACCCUGCCCCACCUUCUGUGCUGUUCUUCUUGACCUUGGAGAUGUGAGCAAGCAGCUGUCCCAGGCUCCUACAGCCAUGGGGGCCAGGGA